rnacentral:rRNA from 1 species
UACAGAGGGGGCAAGCGUUGUUCGGAAUUACUGGGCGUAAAGGGCGCGUAGGCGGCCUUCUAAGUCGAACGUGAAAUCCCUGGGCUCAACCCAGGAACUGCGUCCGAUACUGGAAGGCUUGAAUCCGGGAGAGGGAUGCAGAAUUCCAGGUGUAGCGGUGAAAUGCGUAGAUAUCUGGAGGAAUACCGGUGGCGAAGGCGGCAUCCUGGACCGGCAUUGACGCUGAGGCGCGAAAGCCAGGGGAGCAAACGGG